rnacentral:rRNA from 1 species
GAUGAACGCUAGCGGCAGGCUUAAUACAUGCAAGUCGAGGGGGUAACACGGGUAGCAAUAUCUGGUGACGACCGGCAAACGGGUGCGCAACACGUACAGAACCUUCCUUUAAGCGGGGGAUAGCCCGGAGAAAUCCGGAUUAAUACCCCAUAGUAUUGUUUAAUGGCAUCAUUAGAUAAUUAAAGAUUUAUCACUUAAAGAUGGCUGUGCGUCUGAUUAGGUAGUUGGUUGAGGAAAGGCUCACCAAGCCUUCGAUCAGUAACUGGUGUGAGAGCACGACCAGUCACACGGGCACUGAGACACGGGCCCGACUCCUACGGGAGGCAGCAGUAAGGAAUAUUGGUCAAUGGAGGCAACUCUGAACCAGCCAUGCCGCGUGAAGGAU